AUGUACGCGGCCCUCAGUGCGGCGCAAUGGGUAGUCGGCAAGGCGCUAGCCCCCGUUGCGGACGGGGUGCUGGAGGCAUGGGCGGCCACCAGGAACUUUGGUUUCAACAUCGAGGCCCUCAGCAUGGAACUGAUGCUGGUGAAGGCCACGCUCGAACAAGCUGGACGCAAGGAGCUCGGCGGGCCGGCCAUGGAGAUGUUGCUGCAGAAGCUGCGUGACUCGGCGCAAAAUGCUGAAGACUUGCUAGAUGAGCUCGACUACUUCCGCAUCCACGAUGAGCUCCAUGGCACCGAUGAUGCUGCCGGCGAGCACAACAAGGGUUGCUUCCACAACCUUGCCUUUAAUGCUUGCCACACCGCCAAAGCUUUUGGCAAACUGGUCAACUGUGCUAAGCAUCGGCAGAGGUCACACAGCGACUCCUCGGCCCCAGACGCCAACCAGGAGCUUAGCGGAUGCAUGCCCAAGCUUGGUAAACUCCUCCCUUGCUCAUCUUCCCUGCAUCCACAUGUUCGUGAUGGUGAUCGUGGCAGUGAUGACGACUGUGAUAGUGAUGAUGAUUGUGGCAAUUUGCAAGAAACACCAAAGCUUGAGUUUAAUAGGGUUUAUUUCUCUCAAAGGAUGAAGGACAUUGUAGAGAAAUUGCAACUUAUGCGCAAUGAGGUUAGCAAGAUUCUGAUACAUUGUGGCCCUAGAACUGUCCCAGACAUUGCCCUGAGUCGUCCUAUCACCAAAAGUCGAAUUGAUGAGCCAAAACUGUAUGGGAGGGACCAUGUCAUGAAUAGCAUCAUACAUGAUAUCACCAAGGGUCAAUACUAUGACAAGGGUCUAACUGUGUUGCCGGUAGUGGGUACAGGGGGAAUGGGGAAGACAACUCUUAUACAACACAUAUAUCGCAGCCAGCAAGUGCAGAAUCAUUUUCCAGUCAUGAUUUGGAUAUGUGUAUCGCUCAAUUUCAAUCUAGAUAAGGUGCUAGAACAAAUUAAAACAUGUACACCUCGAGUUGAAAUGGAAAAAGAGGCUAUUACAACAGAAGAUGUGAUCGAACAAAGAUUAAAAUAUAAAAGGUUCUUGCUUGUAUUGGAUGAUAUAUGGCGGAUUAGUAAUGGUGAUGAUUGGAAAAAAUUAUUGUCGACGCUCAAUCAAUCAGAAGAAAGGGGGUGCAUGAUUCUAGUCACAACUCAGUUCCAGGCAAUAGCACAAAAGGUUAAAACAACUGGCCAAUCAAUAGAACUGAAUGGUUUAGAAUCUGAAGAGUUUAGGAAGUUAUUUCUUGCAUUUGUCUUUGGUGAUGAACAAUGUGCAAGGGAUAAACAUUUCUUACUUGAGACAGGAGAUAAGAUAAUGGAAAAGCUGAAGGGCUCCCCUCUUGCAGCAAAAACUGUUGGUAGAUUACUGAGUAAAGAACUUAGCUUGCGGCAUUGGAAAAGGGUCCUAAAAAGUAAGGAAUGGGAGAAGCAAACCGAUGACAAUGAAAUUAUGCCUGCCUUGAAGAUUAGCUUUGACUUUCUCCCUUUUUAUUUGAAACAAUGUUUCUCCUAUUCUGCAUUGUUUCCUGAAGAUUAUCAUUUCAGAAGCCACGAGCUCAUCAACCUGUGGACCGGACUAGACAUUUUGGUACCUGGUGGCCAAAACCAAGUUGUUCAAGAUAUAGGUUUGAGUAAUUUAAAUGAGCUAGUUAUCCAUGGAUUUUUCAGAGAAGAGGAAACUAAUGAUGGUCUGCAUUAUGUUAUGCAUGACCUAUUGCAUGAUUUGGCAUUGAAGGUUGCAUCACAUGAUUGUCUUAGUUUACAUCUCUCUGAUGUUGGGUCAGUAGAUAUUCAGCCAUCCACCCAUCACUUGUAUGUACGCACAGAGAACUUGGGUGAAUAUAAUGCAGUGUCUUCUCAAAACAUUAAGAGUGAAUUGGAAAAGUUGAAGACAUCAUUGAAGGUUGAACAUUUGCAAACAUUGAUGUUAUUUGGAAAAAUGGAUAAAGGUUUUGCCAAGAUAUUUGGUGAUUUUUUUGGGGAAGCAAAUGCUCUUCGUGUUCUUUAUUUUCCUGACAUGACGUAUCCCGUGGAAUCCAUGUUACAUAACUUUUCAGGACUUGUCCACCUACGAUUCCUAUGUCUAGGGACAAAGGAGUGGCAGAUGCAUUUACCACUUAGCAUCCUUAAAUUUUAUCACUUAAGGGUUCUAGAUCUUAAGUCGUGGCAUGGCAGUUGUGAUUUUCCUGAAGACAUGAGCAACCUUGCAAAAUUGUGCCAUUAUUAUACCCCAAGAGAUGAGGAGCUUCAUUCUCAUAUUUAUAAUGUGGGAAAACUUAAACUCUUGGAAGAGUUAAAGGUAUUUCAGGUCAAUAAAAAGAGUGAAGGAUUUGAACUAAAGCAACUAGAGCAUUUGACCAAGCUAAGGGAACUUGGCAUCUACAACCUCGAGAAAGUGCAUACAAAAGACGAAGCAGCUCAAGCAAAACUGAUAGAGAAAAACUACUUGAGGAGGUUAACAAUGGAUUGGGAUAGUGAUCGAUCUACUGUUGAGCCUGGUGUGGAAGCAAUGGUUCUUGAGAACCUUCGACCGCAUGGAGAUCUUCAAAUGUUGUGCAUUAGAGGGAACAGAGGCCCUUCUUGCCCAGCAUGGCUAGGUGAUGAGCUCGCUGUUGAUGCUCUACAAUCUCUUAGUCUUUAUUGUGUUUCUUGGGGAGUUUUCCCUUCUUUAGGGAAGGCAUGGGAUCUUCGUGAACUAAGAUUGGAGCAUGUUGACAAGCCGAAGGAGUUUACUAUAGAGAAAAGCUUUUGCAUGCUAAUAAAGCUUGAACUAAUUGGCCUAGGAAGUUUUGAAAAUUGGGUUUACCCAGCUGAACAAGAGUCUUCCGUUAGUGGAGACUUGUUGCCACCGGAUGCUCAUAUGUUCCCUCUUUUGCAAGUUCUGAUUAUUAGGGAGUGCCCGAAACUAUUGGGGUUGCCUUUCUUGGACCACAUUGUUUCCCCAGAUUGGUUCCCCAAGCUACAAGAGCUUGAGGUAUGCGACUGUCCCGAAUUCUUGCCAGUGAUUCCCAUCUCCUGGAUGGAAAGUCUUUGUUUUGUCAAGAUGAAAUGUAUAAAGAUGCUAAAGGAGUUUGCGUACUCAAAAUCAUCCAAUGGAGCAGAAUUGGAGAUUAUCGGAGAGGGUGAUCUACAUAGCAUCGACCAAGUGUUAGUUUUUGAUAAAGAAACUAGUCUUGGGAAGCUGACACUCGAGAGGUGCCCACCUCUGGAGUUGAAGCACCUCUUAAUGCUAACCUCGGUGAAGACAUUGAUUGUAAGAAAAUCAGAUGGUCUAGUUGGACCACUAGGAGGUCAGGGUGAUGUGGAAUGGCAGCUCCCUGUUGAGUUUAUCACGAUCUGGGACUUAAAUGGUAAUAGUGGGAAGGAAUUGACAGAUCUCAUCCCUCACCUCCCAAAUCUCUCUAAAUUGGACAUAAGGUUUUGUAAAAACAUAAAACGUUUGGUAGUAGGGGUGGAUUUGCGACAUACAACAUCGGCAGCACCAGAGAUGGAUGAAGAUGAAAUAAGAGCAGCAGAAGAGGAAGAGGAUGAAGGGGUGCUGCUCUUCCCAGCUCAUCUCUUUGACUCACUUCAGGAGUUGGUCAUCUGCGAGUCCCAAGAGCUGGUACUGGUGGACCCACCAACUCUUGUUCCAGGAGGAGGAUGGCUUGAAACCUUCCGAUCCCUCCAGAGACUAAGAAUAGAGGGCACCCCAAGAUUUCUAUCCGCCUUCUCAUUUUCCCAUCACAUUUUUCCUUCCUCCCUGAGGUUCCUGAAGCUUUCAGCUGUGAAAGGCAUGGAGACACUGGAGCCCCUCUCAAAUCUCUUCUCUCUUACCAGAUUACAAUUGUGGUAUUGCGGAGAGGAUCUGAAAUGUCACGGCUUGGAGUUUCUCCUUGCCUGUGGCCAACUCAAGGAAUUACAAGUCAUUGGAAGCCAUAGGUUCUUUGCUGGUUGGGUUCCCAAUCCCUGGCGGGAGCCUGUUUCAUCCACACUGCGGGAGCUCUGCACGGAUGAUGCCAGGGGACUUCUUAGUGCACCUAUCUGCAGCUUCCUCUCUUCCUCCCUCACCAAGCUUGAACUUGGUGGGAUAGGGUCUGAAGGGAUGAAGCGCUUCAGCAAGAAGCAAGAGGCCGCCCUUCAGCUCCUCUCCUCCCUCCAGCAACUUAAGUUUUUGUGUUUCCACAGUCUUCAGCAACUCCCUGCAGGGCUGCACAAGCUUAACAGUCUCAACACAUUAUUGCUCCGCUUCUGCCCAGCUGUCUCGUCGUUGCCCAACGAUGGCCUCCUGGAUUACCUGCUAGAGCUGGAUGUCUCUAAGUGCUGUAACGCGGAGCUGAAAGAGCAGUGCAGGGGGUUACUGGGAACCAUACUUUCCGUCAAAAUAGACUGA
rnacentral:rRNA from 1 species